CGUACCCUGCUGUGUACGAGAGUGUAUCUGGCGUUGAGCCACUUAGAUUUCCUUGGGAAUUAGGAUACGAAAGAGGGGAUGUAGUAGCCGCAAGGCCAGGCAGAGGACCUCGAGACACGAUUCCCACCUGCGUAAGCAGGUUCACACAAUAGAGCAUUCACGGCAUGGUGGGGCGAAC
rnacentral:other from 1 species